AUUGAACGCUGGCGGCAGGCUUAACACAUGCAAGUCGAGCGGAGUGAUGGUGCUUGCACUAUCACUUAGCGGCGGACGGGUGAGUAAUGCUUAGGAAUCUGCCUAUUAGUGGGGGACAACAUCUCGAAAGGGAUGCUAAUACCGCAUACGUCCUACGGGAGAAAGCAGGGGAUCACUUGUGACCUUGCGCUAAUAGAUGAGCCUAAGUCGGAUUAGCUAGUUGGUGGGGUAAAGGCCUACCAAGGCGACGAUCUGUAGCGGGUCUGAGAGGAUGAUCCGCCACACUGGGACUGAGACACGGCCCAGACUCCUACGGGAGGCAGCAGUGGGGAAUAUUGGACAACGGGGGGAACCCUGAUCCAGCCAUGCCGCGUGUGUGAAGAAGGCCUUAUGGUUGUAAGGCACUUUAAGCGAGGAGGAGGCUCUUUUGGUUAAUACCCAAGAUGAGUGGACGUUACUCGCAGAAUAAGCACCGGCUAACUCUGUGCCAGCCGCCGCAGUAACAC
rnacentral:rRNA from 1 species